rnacentral:rRNA from 1 species
AGCAUAAUCAUUUGCCUUUUAAUUGGAGGCUGGAAUGAAAGGAUAUACGAAAUUAAUGCUGUCUCUAUUUUAUUUAUAAAAAUUAUCUUUUAGGUGAAGAGACCUAGAUUUUAAUGAAAGACAAAAAGACCCUAUUGAGCUUUAUUUUUAUAUGGGAUUUUUAGAUUUAUUUACUUAAAUACUUUAAUAAAUUUGGUUGGGGCGACAUAGGAAUAUAUUAAAAUAUCUUCCUGUAAUUUUAAGAAAUUAUUAUUCUUUUUAGAGAUCUAUUUAGAUGAUAAGGAGAAUUAGUUACCAUAGGGAUAACAGGCUAAUCUUUUCGGAGAGUUCAAAUUGAUGAAAGGGGUUGGCAACCUCGAUGUUGGCUUAAGAUAUCCUAAAGAUGCAGCAGUCUUUGAGGGUUGGUUUGUUCAACCAUUAAAA